rnacentral:rRNA from 1 species
CCUGGCUCAGAACGAACGCUGGCGGCGUGCUUAAUACAUGCAAGUCGUGCGAGAAAGUACCCUUCGGGGUGCGAGUACAGCGGCAAACGGGUGAGUAACACGUAAGGAAUCUGCCUCCAAAUCCGGAAUAGCUCUGCCAACGCGGAAUUAAUGCCGGAUGUGGUUGCAUGGUCGCAUGGCUAUGCAACUAAAGGUGACCUCUUCGUUUGAAAGUUACCGUUUGGAGAUGACCUUGCGGCCCAUUAGCUUGUUGGCGGGGUAACGGCCACCAAGGCUGCGAUGGGUAGCCGGCCUGAGAGGGUGAUCGGCCACAUUGGGACUGAGAUACGGCCCAGACUCCUACGGGAGGCAGCAGUAGGGAAUUUUGCGCAAUGGACGAAAGUCUGACGCAGCAACGCCGCGUGAGCGAUGAAGGUCUUCGGAUCGUAAAGCUCUGUUGAGUGGGAAGAAACGUCUCGGGGUUAAUAUCUCCGAGGCCUGACGGUACCACUCGAGGAAGCUCCGGCCAACUACGUGCCAGCAGCCGCGGUAAUACGUAGGGAGCGAGCGUUGUUCGGAAUCACUGGGCGUAAAGGGAGUGCAGGCGGAAAGGUAAGUCAGAAGUGUAAUCUACGGGCUUAACCCGUAUCUCGCUUUUGAUACUGCUUUUCUUGAGUAGUGGAGAGGGAAACGGAAUUCCAGGUGUAGCGGUGGAAUGCGUAGAUAUCUGGAAGAACACCAGUAGCGAAGGCGGUUUCCUGGCCACAUACUGACGCUGAGGCUCGAAAGCGUGGGGAGCAAACAGGAUUAGAUACCCUGGUAGUCCACGCCGUAAACGAUGGGCACUAGAUAUCGGGGAAUUCGAUUUCUUCGGUGUCGCAGUUAACGCGAUAAGUGCCCCGCCUGGGGAGUACG